rnacentral:rRNA from 1 species
AACGAGUUACGUUAAGUAGCAAGGUUAAGCACUUAAGGUGCGGAGCCGUAGCGAAAGCGAGUUCUAACUGAGCGUUCAGUUACUUGACGUAGACCCGAAACCGGGCGUCCUACCCAUGAGCAGGAUGAAGCGACAGUAAAAUUUCGUGGAGGUCCGAACCCACGAGCGUUCCAUACCUCGGGGGUGACUUGUGGGUAGCGGUGAAAUUCCAAUCGACCCCGGAGAUAGCUGGUUCUCCCCGAAAUAGCUUUAGGGCUAGCCUCAAGGUGAGAGAUAC